rnacentral:rRNA from 1 species
UUACCUAGACUUGACAUCCCCUGAAUUACCGGUAAUGCGGGAAGCCCUUCGGGGCAGGGAGACAGGUGGUGCAUGGUUGUCGUCAGCUCGUGUCGUGAGAUGUUAGGUUAAGUCCUGCAACGAGCGCAACCCCUAUCAUUAGUUGCUACCAUUAAGUUGAGCACUCUAGUGAGACUGCCUGGGUUAACCAGGAGGAAGGUGGGGAUGACGUCAAAUCAUCAUGCCCCUUAUGUCUAGGGCUACACACGUGCUACAAUGGUGGGUACAAAGAGAUGCAAGACCGCAAGGUGGAGCAAAACUCAAAAACCCACCCCAGUUCGGAUUGUAGGCUGAAACUCGCCUACAUGAAGCCGGAGUUGCUAGUAAUCGCGAAUCAGAAUGUCGCGGUGAAUACGUUCCCGGGCCUUGUACACACCGCCCGUCACACCAUGAGAGCUGGCAACACCCGAAGUCCGUGAGGUAACCGUAAGGAGCCAGCGGCCGAAGGUGGGGUUAGUGAUUGGGGUGAAGUCGUAACAAGGUAGCC